CCCCUCAUUUCUCUCUGUUUCUCUCUCCCAGACUCCCAGUCUUCCUCCCGCCCCGCCGCCACCAACUUUAGGCACCGCCUCCAACCUGGGCAGCCGUGCCACCGCGUGGCUAGCCGCCAGUGCUCCUGGCUGCGCUGCUCCACACGCGGAUGGAGGCGGCCUGCCGACGUGGGAGCUCCACGCGGAUGGCCAACACAGGAGCCCAAGGCGGGGCGGAGACGGUCGGUCUCAGAUCCGUCGAUGAGUCUCCGAGCCCCACCGGCCUCCUACCCAUGCGGCCAUUGGCGAUGCUCAGCUGGGCCGCGGUGGCGCUCACUCUCGCGGCCACGGCACUCCAGGCCGCCGCACUGGCCCCCCUGCGUCUCUCCACCUGCUCCCGGCUCCCAUGGAAGCUCCUCCGUGAAUCCAGGUGCAGCUCCUCAGGCUCUUCUUCCCAAUCUCCUUCAACACAUGGCCCCUUUACCCUUUCCUUGUCCCUUUCUCCUCAAAGCGCAAGAUGGCAGCUCGUCCCCAUGGUGUGCGGUAGCAUCUUCAGGUGUGCAGGCCCUCUCUAAUACGGAUCCAAUGACAUGCCGAGGCGCUACAAGCCUAGAUCUGGUGGAACACUGCAUUUGGCAGGUCUGUGAGUUGUCGCCGAAGACUGGAAGACACACAUAAGGCACUAGAGAUUUCUAGAUUGAGAACAUAAGGAUACAGUAUAAGGUGAAGAGCCAAAAUCUUCGGAUGAUGUUGUGGUGUAUUUUUUGGUACAGUUUAUCAAGCAAGUUAUUUGGUGAACAUAGGCAUUCAAUUAGGUGGUUCAUGCCCACAAUUUUCUUCAGUUUUGUAUCAAUUGGGUGGUCAAGAUAUGUGACAGAGUGAUAUGAUAUGAAAUGGUUGCAAUGGCACAUACUAUGUAAAUAGUUAAAUACCAUCUAAAUUUGAAAGAUUCGAUUGAGCAAUUAUACAAGGAUUGUAUAAUGGUUUUAUUAUGACAAUUUUA